rnacentral:sRNA from 1 species
AAAAAAAAUGGGCGAAACGCCCAUCUUCUCACUUAGCCAGGUGGUCGCACCUGGGGCGCGUAUUACAGCGCAGAAAAAAGCCGCACGCCCAGCGACUUUGUGAUUCUAGCCUUUU